AAUCAGAGUUAUUUACUAAACUGUGAAAUGCCAGGAAUUCAGAGUGAAUUAAAUGCAAAUUUAACAUUUAAGGCCAAUAUAGUCAAGCCGCAAACUUACCCGAAGUGUAGAAUUUUCCCCGUUUGGUUAAUUUCUCUUCAAAUGUGAUAUUCCCAACAGUUUACUCUUUAGUGAGUAACUCUUAAAAUAUUUACCUGAAUGGGUUUGUCGAAAUGAAGUCAAUCAGAUUGCAUUUACCAGGCAAGCAACCUUUUAUGGCUUUUACUUAACUGAACAAACAUUAGGGAUGUGACAAAAAUACAGUGCUAAAAAUGGCGUAAUCAACAUGGAAACCAGUGGAAACCAGUGGAACCAGCAGGUGCAUUCCAUUAGUGACUCCUCCCCUUUUACAUUUCUGCACCACUUUUAUUACUUUACUGAGAGGGUAGUGGAUGCAUGGAAUAGCCUUCCAGCUGAAGUGGUAGAGGGUAACACAGUGAAGGAGUUUAAGCAUGCGUGGGAUAGGCAUAAGGCUAUCCUAACUAUAAGAUAAGGCCAGGGACUAAUGAAAGUAUUUAGAAAAUUGGGCAGACUAGAUGGGCCGAAUGGUUCUUAUCUGCCGUCACAUUCUAUGUUUCUAUGUUUCUUUUUUAGAAUUUAACACUUUCAUAAAUCUCCAACAUUAUGAAUGCUUGACAUUUACUGCAAUUAAGGCAUUUUUAGUUAUUGAGUUAAUGAUAAAAAACUUUUCUUCACCCAAGUGGGUCUCUCUUUAAUAACACUUUUAAUCGUUAUCUGCUUGGGCUGUCUUAGAAUGUUGAGAGUUUACUUUCUAUGAACCACCAUAUGUUAUAGAUGUCACCCAACCUUGUUGGCAAAAUUUUCAACUGGGGUUAGGCCAAGCAUCAUAACCAGUACAGCCCACUUUAGUGGUUAUGAUGCCAUCCUGGCCUGGUUCCCCAGUAAUGGGCAAACUGUUUAGCAAUGGUCUACUCUCUUACCUGGGUCAACGCUGGACUCCGAUGCUCCCUGGUGAUCUAGUGAAUGCAUCUGCAUUCAGAGUUGCCGAAGCUGGAAGUCCCGGGGGUCAGCAAUCAUUGUCUGAGAGAGUCAGCUGACCGCUCUCAGCCAUUGACUGUCAUUCUGUGCAAAGAAAGUUGGAUGGGAUGAAUGAUGAAGCCACUAUGACAGCGCCAGAGGUGGAGUUAAACCUCCAGUAGCAGAAGGUUAAUCUCUGUAUCAGCAGCAUUUCAUAGUGAAUUGCUGCACGUACAAACUCCAGGAGUAACCCUUUAAGAUUUCAGGCAAACCCGCAAGCAUCUUUAAAGUACAAUAGGAAAAAAAAAUGAAGUGGAACUACGAGACCACAAUUACAUUUAUUAAUCACUUGUAGAGACUCUGAACAUAUUACAUUAAAUAAAUAAAUAAUAUUAUUGCAUCUUCCAGUUUCCCCCCCCUUAAGAAAGGAUGAAAAAUAUCUGACACAAGGUGGAUACAUUUGUUGAACUGAGAUUCCCUGAAUUUCCGGGUAGCUAUAGUUUUGUAUUCGUUACUGAUUGGUUCCUAACACACAGCCUAAGUAAAGGCAUUGUGUCGAAAACUCUUGGCAAGGGACAAGUAGACUAUUAGAGACUUUUACCUUGACCUACGAAUGAACACGAUCAUCUUAAUGGUUGUUCGGAAAAUACAGUUAUCUCCACUAGAGAAUGCCUGUCAAUUAAUCCUAGAUCCAGCAACCCAAUUUAUACAGUUGGAUCAGGUAACAUAUUAUAGUACAAGUGACUGUCUUGGUGGCCUGUAACAAUGUAA
rnacentral:lncRNA from 1 species